AUGGCCGUCCAAGUCGUGACGUCCGAGCUGGUCGCGCCGAGCGAGGCCACCCCGCGGCGCGCGCUCUGGCUGUCCAACCUCGACCUCGGCGCCAGGAACGGUUACUCCCCCACCGUCUACUUCUUCCGAGCGCCCGAUCGCGGCGACGGCAAGGCCGAGUCCUUCUUCUCGGCCGGCGUCCUCAGGGCGGCGCUGGCCAGGGCGCUGGUCCCGUUCCACCCCUUCGCCGGACGCCUCGGCGCGGGCCGCCACGGCCGGGCGGAGAUCGACUGCAACGACGAGGGCGCGCUCUUCGUCGUCGCGCGGUCCGAGGCCGCGCUCGACGACUUCGAGGGCUUCGCGCCGUCCAAGGCGAUGCGCGACAUGUUCGUGCCGCCGUAUGACAACGCCGGCGCGGGCGCCCCGUUGCUCAUGCUUCAGGUCACCUUCUUCCGGUGCGGCGGCGUGGCGCUCGGCACGGCCAUGCACCACUUCGUCAUCGACGGCCGCAGCGCCUUCCACUUCAUCCAGACGUGGGCCAGCAUCGCCCGCGGGGACGCCAGCGCCACCGUGCUCCCGUCCCUCGACCGCACCCCGCUGCGCGCGCGCUCCCCGCCGACCGUCCACUUCGACCACAGCCGCGAGUAUCGCCUCACCGCCCCCGCAUCAACCGAUCCUCCUGUCGCUGGCGGCGUCAAGCCGUCGUUGGAGUACGCCAGCGCCAUCCUGCGCGUGACAGGCGCACAGGCCGCCGCUCUCCGUGCGCGCGCGGGCGCGCCCUGCGUGUCGACGUUCCGCGCGCUGGUGGCCCACGUCUGGCGCUGCGCGUGCGCGGCGCGCUCCCUGGCCCCCGACGCCGAGUCCCGCCUCUACACCAUGAUCGACAUGCGCGCCCGCCUCUCCCCGCCGCUCCCGGACGCCUACUUCGGCAACGCGGUGGUGCGCACGUCGGUGUCCGCGAGGGUGGGCGACCUGCUGUCCGGCCCUCUCGGGUUCGGGGCGCGGCGGCUCCGCGCGGCGACGGGGCAGGGCGACGAGUACGCGCGGUCGGUGGUGGACUACCUGGAGACGGCGGACAUGGGGGCGCUGCCGAGGAGCGGGCUGCCGGGGACGGACCUGCGGGUGAUCAGCUGGAUGGGGAUGCCGUCGCACGACGCUGACUUUGGGUGGGGCGAGCCGGCGUUCCUGGCGCCGGCGCUCAUGUUCUACCCGGGGUUCGUGUACCUGAUGAGCUGCCCGGGCAAGGGCGGCGACGUGGCGGUGGCCGUUUCGCUGGAGCCGGAUCGCUUGGCGAGGUUCAAGGAGCUAUUCUUCGAGGAGAUGGCCGCCAUGGAGUGA
rnacentral:rRNA from 1 species